CGCACGGGUGAGUAACGCGUAUCCAACCUGCCCACCACUUGGGGAUAACCCUGCGAAAGUAAGACUAAUACCCAAUGAUAUCCCACGAAGGCAUCCGAAUGGGAUUAAAGAUUUAUCGGUGAUGGAUGGGGAUGCGUCUGAUUAGCUUGUUGGCGGGGUAACGGCCCACCAAGGCUACGAUCAGUAGGGGUUCUGAGAGGAAGGUCCCCCACAUUGGAACUGAGACACGGUCCAAACUCCUACGGGAGGCAGCAGUGAGGAAUAUUGGUCAAUGGGCGAGAGCCUGAACCAGCCAAGUAGCGUGCAGGAUGACGGCCCUACGGGUUGUAAACUGCUUUUGCGGGAGAAUAAAGGUGGCCACGCGUGGCCAUUUGCAGGUAUCCCGUGAAUAAGGACCGGCUAAUUCCGUGCCAGCAGCCGCGGUAAUACGGAAGGUCCGGGCGUUAUCCGGAUUUAUUGGGUUUAAAGGGAGCGCAGGCGGAGGAUCAAGCCAGCCGUCAAAUAGCGGUGCUCAACACCGUCCAGCGGUUGGAACUGGUUCCCUUGAUUGCGGGAGAAGAAGGCGGAACUCGUGGUGUAGCGGUGAAAUGCAUAGAUAUCACGAAGAACUCCGAUUGCGAAGGCAGCCUUCCGGCCCGCCAAUGACGCUCAUGCUCGAAGGCGCGGGUAUCAAACAGGAUUAGAUACCCUGGUAGUCCGCGCAGUAAACGAUGAAUGCUCGGGAUUUGGCCCUUGUGGCUGAGUCCCCCCAGCGAAAGCGU
rnacentral:rRNA from 1 species